rnacentral:rRNA from 1 species
GACGAACGCUGGCGGCGUGCUUAACACAUGCAAGUCGAGCGGAAAGGCCCUUUCGGGGGUACUCGAGCGGCGAACGGGUGAGUAACACGUGAGUAACCUGCCCUUGACUUUGGGAUAACCCCGGGAAACCGGGGCUAAUACCGGGUAUGACCCUGCCGGGCAUCUGGUGGGGUGGAAAGCUUUUGCGGUCAGGGAUGGGCUCGGGGCCUAUCAGCUUGUUGGUGGGGUGAUGGCCUACCAAGGCGAUGACGGGUAGCCGGCCGGAGAGGGCGAGCGGGCACACUGGGACUGAGGCACGGCUCAGACUCCUACGGGAGGCAGCAGUGGUGAAUAAGGCACAAUGGGCGGAAGACUGAUGCAGCGACGCCGCGUGAGGGAUGACGGCCUUCGGGGGGUAAACCUCUGUCGACAGGGACGAAGCGUGAGUGACGGUACCUGGAGAAGAAGCGCCGGCCAACUACGUGCCAGCCGCCGCCGUAACAC